AUCCUUUUGUAGCUACAAGCGUAAUGAUUGGGUGUUCACACAGUUGUGGGCCACAUGCCUCCCUCCAACCUUGUUACAACCUCGGCACAUUAUCCAUCUGACA
ensembl:snoRNA